rnacentral:rRNA from 1 species
GACGAACGCUGGCGGCGCGCUUAACACAUGCAAGUCGAGCGAAGCGGCGGACGGGUGAGUAACACGUGAGUAACCUGCCUUAGACAUUGGGAUAGCCUCGGGAAACCGGGUUUAAUACCAAAUGGUAUAGGAUGGAGUCGCGUCCCAUUAGCUCGUUGGUGAGGUAACGGCCCAACAAGGCGACGAUGGGUAGCCGGCCUGAGAGGGUGAACGGCGACAUUGGAACUGGGAAACGGUCCAAACUCUACGGGAGGGAGCAGUGGGUAAUAUUGCACAAUGGAGGGAACUCUGAUGCAGCGAGGCCGUGUGAACGAAGAAGGCUUUCGAGUCGUAAAGUUCUUUUAUAUGGGAAGCGUUACCAUAAGAAAAAGCCCCGGCUAACUACGUGCCAGCAGCCGCGGUAAUUC